AGUUUUUUUGGAAGAAGCCCAUAACUAUGUCAUGAAGGCACAAAAGAGGCCCUAGGGAAAGAUCCAUAUGAGGAAGAAUUGGUCCAACAGCCAGCCGCGUGAGCCACCUUGGAAGUGGAUCCUUCAAGAUCUGUCCAACAUUCAGUUGAAUACCUCCCCAGCCACUAUCUGAAGUAACCUCAUGGGAUACUCUGUGCCAGAAUUGCCUAGCCGAGCAACAGCAAGAGAAGAAGCCGAAUAUAGUGAUCUGAAGAUGAGAAGUUAUGUGGCAUACUAAGACACGGAGGAGGAUCCCACCCUGACUUGAUGAAAGCGUUUUGGUUUUAGUUCAGUUUUUUGUUUGCUUUAUGAGAAGGAGAUUAAAAAAGAAGACAGGAAGGAAGAAAAUAUCCACCCGUGGUAGCCACACCUGGAAGGUUACGCCAACUAAGGAAAGAUUAUGCCAACAUCAGAUUUUACCAGACACUUGCCUUCGUGACUCCUGCUACAGAUUUCUUGCCAUUCCCCGUGCAGCCAGAGAGGGGUGACUGGACAGUAUGUCAUGUUCUAGCACAUUAAUAUCUGUAAGUGGUAACAGAGCAGUUUAAGAAUGUCUCUUAUGGAUAAUAAUUAGGAAAUACAUAAUAACUAGGAAAUAAAUACAUAAUAACUAGGAAAACA